AGUCUCUCCAACCCAGCGAGUAUUAGGGGCGGGGGUGGGGUGGGGGAGUAAGCCGGGGUAGCCGGGAGCUGCGGUGCAGGAAGUGAACCGCAUUGUGUGGUGGUGGCUCACACUAGUGCCCUGAGGACCGGCCCACUUCCUCGCCUAAAUUUUGCACAUGGAGUCUGAUCUCACUGAAGACCGUCUCUCCGAGCUAACAAUAGAGCCCCUCGGUUUGUCAGAAAAAGAAGAAGAAGAAGAAGAAGAAGAAGAAGAAGAAAAGAAGAAGAAGAAGAAGAAGAGGAUGAGGAGGAGGAGGAGGAGGAAGAGGAGGAGGAGGAAGAGGAGGAAGAGGAAGAGGAAGAAGAGGAAGAUGCUUCUGGGCUCUCCUGGCUUCAUGGGGGAUGUAAUUCUUAUGCUACGAAGUUCACCAUUUUAAGGCCUUCAAUAUUAAACAUCAUCUCCACCAUGAAACCAAGGAGUACCCUUCUCUUGCUCAUGAUGGUAUCCCUUCCACAUAGUCUGGCCUACAGUAGUUACUCAAUAAAGUUUGACUUAAUUGCAUGCUUGAAUAAAAA
rnacentral:lncRNA from 1 species